UCUGGCGGCGAGUGGCGAACGGGUGAGUAAUGUAUCGGAACGUGCCUAGUAGCGGGGGAUAACUACUCGAAAGAGUGGCUAAUACCGCAUACGCCCUACGGGGGAAAGGGGGGGAUCGAAAGACCUCUCACUAUUAGAGCGGCCGAUAUCGGAUUAGCUAGUUGGUGAGGUAAAGGCUCACCAAGGCGACGAUCCGUAGCUGGUUUGAGAGGACGACCAGCCACACUGGGACUGAGACACGGCCCAGACUCCUACGGGAGGCAGCAGUGGGGAAUUUUGGACAAUGGGGGAAACCCUGAUCCAGCCAUUCCGCGUGUGCGAUGAAGGCCUUCGGGUUGUAAAGCACUUUUGGCAGGAAAGAAAUCGCAUCAAUUAAUACUUGGUGUGGAUGACGGUACCUGCAGAAUAAGCACCGGCUAACUACGUGCCAGCAGCCGCGGUAAUACGUAGGGUGCAAGCGUUAAUCGGAAUUACUGGGCGUAAAGGGAGCGUAGGUGGCUCGAUAAGUCAGAUGUGAAAUCCCCGGGCUCAACCUGGGA
rnacentral:rRNA from 1 species